CACCCAGACUCCUACGGGAGGCAGCAGUGAGGAAUAUUGGUCAAUGGGCUUACGCCUGAACCAGCCAAGUCGCGUGAGGGAAGACUGCCCUAUGGGUUGUAAACCUCUUUUGUCAGGGAGCAACGCCGGCUACGUGUAGCCGGACUGAGAGUACCUGAAGAAAAAGCAUCGGCUAGCUCCGUGCCAGCAGCCGCGGUAAUACGGAGGAUGCGAGCGUUAUCCGGAUUUAUUGGGUUUAAAGGGUGCGUAGGCGGAAUGCAAAGUCGGCGGUAAAAUCGCGGGGCUCAACCUCGCUCCGCCGUUGAAACUGGCAGUCUCGAGUUGGAGAGAAGUAUGCGGAAUGCGCGGUGUAGCGGUGAAAUGCAUAGAUAUCGCGCAGAACUCCGAUUGCGAAGGCAGCAUGCCGGCUCCACACUGACGCUGAGGCACGAAAGCGUGGGUAUCGAACAGGAUUAGAUACCCGAGUAAU
rnacentral:rRNA from 1 species